UACGUAUUUAAUAUUUUUUGGAAGAGUGAAAGCUAGGAGUCGACUCAACGCAGAGUUUGACUUCAGAGUAUAGAGGGACAUAACUGACGAACAUAAAACAAUGCAAUUAGUAAACUCGACUAAGGUCGAGCACAGAACCAUUUCUUCGCCACACCACAUGGCUUUCCCAUCAACUACUAAAUACGAUGCGAUUCAGUUUCGUGGAUCCCUGAUCAAGUUGUUGACAAACAGCAGUGCGUUCACCUAACUUUCAAACAAGGAUCACAGAGAGUGAAGUAACAGCAUUGUAAGACUGAUGUGUUUCAAUGACUUGCAGUGACUUAAAUAACUUCAAAAACUUACUUUGGUUGUAUGUAGGUGCUAUGAGAAGUAAAACUAUCUUUAAAUAAU